rnacentral:misc_RNA from 1 species
ACAUCAGUCUCAUUCACGCCCAAAACGCCUUGUCCAAACAGCCGGGCAGUCGUCGCCAUGCUCGUCUGACGGUGUACGGCGGCUUUCGGCUUGCCGGUUGAGCCGGAGGAAUACAGCCAAAAACACACGUCGUCGGGGCGGGAAUGAAACGUUUCCGCUCUUGGAGUCGCGGAAUCCAGCAAUCGACAAAGGAGAGGUAGAUUGUUUUGAGUCUUGCUUGCCGACAAGAUAAUGCGACCAUUCCAUCCGAUGCUUUGUGCU